rnacentral:misc_RNA from 1 species
GAACGCACCUUGCGCCCCUUGGCUAUUCCGAGGAGCAUGCCUGUUUGAGUAUCAUGAACACCUCAACUCUCACGGUUCACCCGUGACGAGCUUGGACUUCUGGAGGUUUUGCUGGCCCAUGGCCGGCUCCUCUCAAAUGGAUCAGCUUACCAGCGUUUGGUGGCGUCAUGGGUGUGAUAACUAUCUACGCUUGUGGCCGUCCGCCAGGUGACCUUCAGCGAUGGGGGUUUGCUGGGGCUUACAAAUGUCUCUCCUCAGCGAAGACAGCUUUUUGAACGUUCGAUCUCAAAUCAGGUAGGACUACCCGCUGAACUUAAG